CAUGCAAGUCGAGCGCGCCUUCGGGUGAGCGGCGGACGGGUGAGUAACGCGUGGGAACGUGCCCUUUUCUACGGAAUAGUCUCGGGAAACUGGGGGUAAUACCGUAUACGCCCUUCGGGGGAAAGAUUUAUCGGAGAAGGAUCGGCCGCGUUGGAUUAGGUAGUUGGUGGGGUAAUGGCCUACCAAGCCGACGAUCCAUAGCUGGUUUUGAGAGGAUGAUCAGCCACACUGGGACUGAGACACGGCCCAGACUCCUACGGGAGGCAGCAGUGGGGAAUCUUAGACAAUGGGCGCAAGCCUGAUCUAGCCAUGCCGCGUGAGCGAUGAAGGCCUUAGGGUUGUAAAGCUCUUUCAGGGGGGAAGAUAAUGACUGUACCCCCAGAAGAAGCCCCGGCUAACUCCGUGCCAGCAGCCGCGGUAAUACGGAGGGGGCUAGCGUUGUUCGGAAUUACUGGGCGUAAAGCGCACGUAGGCGGACUGGAAAGUUGGGGGUGAAAUCCCGGGGCUCAACCCCGGAACUGCCUUCAAAACUUCCGGUCUUGAGGUCGAG
rnacentral:rRNA from 1 species